rnacentral:rRNA from 1 species
CUACAGGGGUAUCUAAUCCUGUUUGCUCCCCACACUUUCGCACCUCAGCGUCAGUAUCGAGCCAGUAAGCCGCCUUCGCCACUGGUGUUCCUCCGAAUAUCUACGAAUUUCACCUCUACACUCGGAAUUCCACUUACCUCUCUCGAACUCAAGACUACCAGUAUCAGAGGCCGUUCCGGGGUUGAGCCCCGGGAUUUCACCCCUGACUUAAUAGUCCGCCUACGUGCGCUUUACGCCCAGUAAUUCCGAACAACGCUAGCCCCCUCCGUAUUACCGCGGCUGCUGGCAC